GGUAUGGUGGCUUAGUGGUUAGCACGCUUGCUACACACCCCCAGGGUUGGGGGUUCAAAUCCCGCCUCUGUCC